AUUGAACGCUGGCGGCAGGCCUAACACAUGCAAGUCGAACGAGUGGCGGACGGGUGAGUAAUGUUUGGGAAACUGCCUGAUGGAGGGGGAUAACUCCUGGAAACGGUAGCUAAUACCGCAUACCAUCAGAUGUGCCCAGAUGGGAUUAGAUAGUUGGUGGGGUAACGGCUCACCAAGGCGACUAUCCCUAGCUGGUCUGAGAGGACGACGAGACACACUGGAACUGAGACCCGGUCACGACUCCUACGGGAGGCAGCGGAGGGGAAUAUUGCACAAUGGGCGGAAGCCUGAUGCAGCCAUGCCGCGUGGAUGAGGAAGGCCUUCGGGUUGAAAAGUACUUUCAGCGGGGAGGCGUUACCCGCAGAAGAAGCACCGGCUAACUCCGUGCCAGCAGCCGCGGUAAUUC
rnacentral:rRNA from 1 species